rnacentral:ncRNA from 2 species
CAACGUGUAUAAGCGCCAGAACCGCUGUUAGAGUGGCUAGUGCUACAAAGUUCCUGGGACUAGCAACUAGUCACUAGUCACUAACAAGCGGUUGACGAGGAAGGGGUUUAUCGAGUCUUCGGCGGAUGCCCCUCGGCCCGGCGGUCGGGCCGUCAAAGGCACUGCAAAUCCCGGGAGCGAUCCCGGGGACAAAGGGUGCCGGUGGCCGUAG